CCUACGGGAGACUGCAGUGAGGAAUAUUGGUCAAUGGGCGCGAGCCUGAACCAGCCAAGUAGCGUGAAGGAUGACUGCCCUACGGGUUGUAAACUUCUUUUAUAAAGGAAUAAAGUGAGGCACGUGUGCCUUUUUGUAUGUACUUUAUGAAUAAGGAUCGGCUAACUCCGUGCCAGCAGCCGCGGUAAUACGGAGGAUCCGAGCGUUAUCCGGAUUUAUUGGGUUUAAAGGGAGCGUAGAUGGGUUGUUAAGUCAGUUGUGAAAGUUUGCGGCUCAACCGUAAAAUUGCAAUUGAUACUGGCAGCCUUGAGUACAGUUGAGGUAGGCGGAAUUCGUGGUGUAGCGGUGAAAUGCUUAGAUAUUACGAAGAAACUCGAUUGCGAAGGCAGCCUACUAAACUGCCACCGACAGUGAGGCUCGAAAGUGUGGGGAACAAACAGGAUUAGAUACCCCAGUAGUC
rnacentral:rRNA from 1 species